UUUCCGUAGGUGAACCUGCGGAAGGAUCAUUACCGAGUGUCGGGCCCUCCUGGGUCCACCCCCCCACCCGUGUAUACUGUCCCUUGUCGCUUCGGCAGGCGCGCCCUCUGGGGCGGGCGGGGGGCCCUCGCGCCCCCGGGUUCGCGCCCGCCGGCGAGGUCCACGCGUACACUGUGUGAAGGUUGCCGUCUGAGUGAAUUUUUCCAAUCGUUAAAACUUUCAACAACGGAUCUCUUGGUUCCG
rnacentral:misc_RNA from 1 species